UCUCCUCACAAACACUCGGUCAACACUCGGUCGACAGAGGGAAAAAAGACUAAAGAGAGUGGGAGGGGAGAGAGAGGCACGAGUGAGAGAUGUCGACUGAAGAAAAAGAAGAAGAAGGCUUGAGAGCGUGGUGGGGGGAGGGGGAGAGGCGAUGGAGAGAGGAAGAAGGCAAAAGAUAAGAAGGCCAAAGAGAUGAAAGAAAGUAAGCGAUAGAGAGGUAUUAGCUUCCUCCUCUAAUAACUCGGAGUAUGUACUGAUUUAGAUGUGUAUUUACUUGAGUUUGUACAUGAUUGAGUUUGUACAUGUGUAUAGUCGAUUAUUUGUUGUUAAUUGGGUCUAAUUUUCGAUAAAUUAAGAUUUAUGCUCUUAAUUAGGUUAUAGGUUUGUUUAAUUAAGAGUUCGUAAUAGUCUUGUUUCCAUGAAUCUUAUUCAUAUCCUUUUCCUAUAUGAUGAUUUCGUAAAAGCGUUGAAAGUUAUAGAUCUCGGCUUCAGUGGAAAAUUUAUGAAUCUGAUAGCAAGAGCUUAAAUUGCUUUUAUUAGAUUCCUCAAAGAGAGGAGGAUACGAGGUGUACAAAAAUGAUGCUAAAAUUAAUCCUUGGCAUAUCCUCGGCACCAGCUGAUAGUCGAUGAAUUUCCUCAACAGACAGCCCGAGUGCAGUUUUUACCUAAACACAGAGGGCUGCAAGUAUAAGGGACAGCCCAAGUUUGGUUUUACUUAAACUAAUUUGAAAUUUUUGGUGUUGUUUAUGCUUGUUAUUUGUUGUGUACAGCUUUUCUUUUACAGGUGCCGAAGACGUUUUCCUAAUUUCUAGUAAAAAGUGGAGUUUUUUUGAAAUUUAAAUUGGCACUGCAAGACGGAGUUAUGAAAGAAAAUAAAGAGCAAAAAAAUGAAAUAUAUGCAUAUGUUUAUGACAUGAGAAACAAGUUAAGCCGGACAUGGCCACAACCUGUGCGCGUGCUGCUGGUUUUAAUCAUGACAGCAUGUUAGAACUCCGGAUACUUUCAUAUCAGUUUGGCGCCUAUCGCGUUAAGUAAGUUUCUAAAAAAAUUAUCUUCGUAUUAGUAGUCCAACUACUGAACCCUCAAACAUCUUUAUUUUGUUUUACUUGUUCUCAUAGUGAUGCUUAAUACCACAAAGAUAUACAAGGGGAGAACAAUAUGUAUGUGAACUGUUUUUUUUUUGAAAAAGUUUGUUCAGGGAUGCUUGCAAUAAAUUCUUAUCUCUGUACGGUUGGGGACAUGCCAGUGUCUCGCUCUUGUGUUGAGUUUAUGUAAAUGCUAGCAGGUCAGCUCGUUAUAAUAUAUACUAUGACAGUGAUGGAUAUGCUGUCAAAGAUGGUAAAGGCAAGGAUCUGCUUCUUUCACUGAUCGUUCAGCAUGUUUCCAUCUGAUCAGGCAAAGUGGUAGCUUGUUUGGCUACUAAAUUAAUAUUUAACUAUGUUUAAAAAUAAAAGGUAAUCUUGUUAUGGUUGAUUAUUCUGUUUGUCAAUCUUGACAUUUUCUAUUACUUUGUGUUAGAAGACCAUGCACUAGUGCGAAUAUGCUACCAGAUUUGGUUGGAGCCUUGUGUAGAACUGUAUGACUUGCACAAUCUACCAAAUUAAUGUUGAGGAACUUGCUCUGCACCAGGCUUUCAACAAUCUAAUUGGGAGCUGGUUUCCACAGAAUCCUCAACAGCUGGUCCUCUUGGAAUAAUCGAUGACGAUGGGCUUGAUAUGAUACGUCUUUUGUUACUGAUUUUUUUGAUAAAAAAUCUGGUGUAAUAAUAUAUUAGCGUAUUUUAUUUAAAUUUCUAGACUGAUAGGAUUGUUUGUACCAAUGUCAGUAACAAUAGUAAUGCUCUUGGUUGUGGUUGUAUAGGCAUGGUUAGAUUUGUGGUGGGUGACAUUCUUAGUUUUGUUUUUGGGAUGUUCUUGUAAUGAACCUUUAAUGGUGGAUUUAAUAUAUUUAUGAAAUGGUCAUGUCAAAUUUUUUUAUUCA